UGAGGAAUAUUGGUCAAUGGGCGAGAGCCUGAACCAGCCACGUCGCGUGAAGGAAGACUGACCUUACGGUUUGUAAACUUCUUUUGUAGAGGGGUAAUGGCAGAUACGUGUAUUUGCGUGAAAGUACUCUACGAAUAAGCAUCGGCUAACUCCGUGCCAGCAGCCGCGGUAAUACGGGGGAUGCGAGCGUUAUCCGGAAUUAUUGGGUUUAAAGGGUGCGCAGGUGGCUAAUCAGGUCAGUGGUGAAAAGCUAUGGCUCAACCAUGGUCUUGCCAUUGAAACCGUAUAGCUAGAGAGGAAACGAGGUAGGCGGAAUGUGUGGUGUAGCGGUGAAAUGCAUAGAUAUCACACAGAACUCCGAUUGCGAAGGCAGCUUACCAGGCUUUAUCUGACACUUAGGCACGACAGCGUGGGGAUCAAACAGG
rnacentral:rRNA from 1 species